ensembl:snRNA U1 U1 spliceosomal RNA
AUGUUUAUCUGGCAGAAGAAAUGUUAUGAUCACGAAGGUGGUUUUUCCAGGGCAAGGUUUAGCAAUUUUAUUCUGGAUGUGCUGACCCCUGUGAUUUCCCCAAACGUGGGAAUCUCGAUUACAUAGUUUGUGGCAGUGGGGAACUGUGUUUGUGUUUUCCCCUG